rnacentral:rRNA from 1 species
UACGGGGGAGCAAGCGUUGUUCGGAUUUACUGGCGUAAAGGGCGCGUAGGCGGCCACCGCAAGUCGGUUGUGAAAUCUCUGGGCUUAACCCAGAAAGGUCAACCGAUACUGCGGGGCUAGAGUGCAGAAGGGGCAACUGGAAUUCUCGGUGUAGCGGUGAAAUGCGUAGAUAUCGAGAGGAACACCUGCGGCGAAGGCGGGUUGCUGGGCUGACACUGACGCUGAAGCGCGAAAGCUAGGGGAGCGAACGGG